rnacentral:lncRNA from 1 species
GAUGAUGUAUGUGAAUGGACUUUGAAAAUGUAACUUUGACUACUUUGACUUUUUUUUUUUCAUUGACUCUGCCUCUGAGGCAUAUUUGCCUCCAUCCACUCUGUGCUCCAAGCCUUGCUUAUCAGUUUGUCCGUGGAAAUGGAAAUGAAACUGCCUCAGUCUGUGGGUUCCAACAAGAGGUUUGUCAGUCAGCAUUGCAAAUGUGUGGAGUAAGGUACAGUCCCAAAAUUCAGAUGAAAUGAACAUCUAACAUGGACAAUUGCUUUGAAUGUGGAAGGUUUCCAGUUUUCUCCAGAAGUAGGUCCUGUCUCAUAGUUCAAGAAUACACACAAUCACCUCUUUCACCAGCAGUAAGGUAUGAUAUCCUGACUCUCUUUGUCUUAAAGCUAAAUUCUACUAAUACAUACGGGAUUUUGUCUGGCUUAAACUUUCAUAAGCAGGAUUGUAUUUUUAGGAGUAUGUGCUUGACAAUUACUGCAGCAUAG